ACCACACCUGAGUAGAAUAAUUAGGUCAUUAGCAAACCUCUGUAGAAAUUAUCUACACAAGAAGGAGGCAAUUAAGCCAUUUCAUUCCAGUGUUUUGUACCUGUGGCACAUACAAAAUCUGCAGGACAGUUGGCCCUUGAGGACUGGACAUCCCUGAUUUACAG